AGAGUUUGAUCAUGGCUCAGAACGAACGCUGGCGGCGUGGAUAAGACAUGCAAGUCGAGCGCUCAUUCGGUUGCAGCAAUGUAACCGAGUGGGAGCGGCGCAAGGGCGCGUAACACGUGGGUAAUUUGCCAUGAAGUUUGGGAUAACUCGCUGAAAGGCGAGCUAAUACCGGAUGUGACAAUCGAGCGGCAUCGUUUGAUUGUUAAAGUUGGGGACCGUAAGGCCUGACGCUUCUUGAUAAGCCCGCGGCCUAUCAGCUAGUUGGUGAGGUAACGGCUCACCAAGGCUAAGACGGGUAGCUGGUCUGAGAGGACGACCAGCCACACUGGAACUGAGACACGGUCCAGACACCUACGGGUGGCAGCAGUCGAGAAUUUUUCACAAUGGGCGAAAGCCUGAUGGAGCGACGCCGCGUGGGGGAUGAAUGGCUUCGGCCCGUAAACCCCUGUCAUUUGCGAACAAACCUCGCUAUUUAAAAGAUGGCGAGCUGAUUGUAGCGAAAGAGGAAGGGACGGCUAACUUCUGUGCUAGCAGCCGCGGUAAUAC
rnacentral:rRNA from 1 species